AAUUUAUUGGGGUAGUGGUAACCUGGGUCGUUGCCAUCGAAGUUACGUAACCUCGACCCGCCGGGGGUUCGAUUCCCUCCCAAAGCA